CCGAAACAGGUUCAAAACGCAUAUAUAUGUUUACAGGAGUACUGCACUUUACCGGGCGCACUUUUUCCCGGGUUCCCUAACCCUAAGGAUCGUAAACGGUGCCUAACCCUUUUUCCGAGCAUGGUAAAUCUUAUAUAAAUCAUAUCUAAAUUUAACGAGAUUGGAGCUCAGCGGUCACUUGUCCCAAUGAUAAUAAUGACACUUCGCGAGCAUCUGUUGUAAGGGAGGUCACUCUCGAUUACUUCUCCUGUUAGGCGAAUGGAAAGGAAUGUUGCAGACAAGGUUCUGUCUGAUGUUCACGUGUUCACACCACACGAAACACUCACUGACACCGACGAGAGUGUGAACAGAGUGACCAGAUUCUACUUCAGCCUCCCCCCAGAUGUCUGCAGAGAGUUGUCAGCAGACAUUGUCUCCGACACGUCAGAUCCCAAUGAUGAUGGAGAACUUUUAUUUGAUGAUGAUGGUGAUGUCUUGGUUACUAGGAAACCACUUACAGAAGACAAACAGGUCAUCACAAUCGAACACAUGAUGGAGACCAAACUUGAUGAUGUUGGACUACAAGUUUGGCAGGGUUGUCUCCUUCUGUGCGACUUUGUCCUUCACCUUCACAAAGAGUUCAAGGGCAACAAGGUCUUGGAUUUGGGGGCCGGUGUUGGUCUCACAAGCAUAGUGGCAGGACUGUUUGCAGAGUCUGUUCUAGUCACAGAUGUGGGAGAAACGAUCCUAAGUGCAUCAGAAUGCAACAUUGCCUUGAACAAACCACUACUGGGUGAAGACUGCACUUUCAGAGUUAAAGAACUUAACUGGUUGAAGUUCAGUGGACCCAAAGACAGUUGUUCUGAUGUUAGAGCCUGCAGAUUCAAGAUGACAGCAGAUGACCACGCAUUGCUGGACAGUGUCAGCCUCAUUCUGGCAGCUGAAGUAAUAUAUGAUCCAGACUUAACUGAUGCUUUCUUCUCUACGGUAACACAACUCAUGUCCAGACCACCAGCAAAGACUCUCUACAUGACUCUAGAGAAGAGACUGGUGUUCACGCUGGCUGACCUGGACGUAGUCAGUCCUGCUUACGAACAUUUCCGUGAGAUGAUACAAGAACUGUCGGGUUUGUGUGUUGAUGGAGUCACCUUCCACUGCUGCCAGAUCCAUUGUGACUUUCCCCAAUACUUCACGUAUGAUCGGCACAAACACCUGGAGCUGUGGCAAAUAACUUCCUGUAUGGCUGAAUGAAUCUUACAGCAGCAUGGGGCAUAUGUGGCCCAGUGGUUCAAGUCAUUCAGAGUUGCGUCACUGAAGAGAUCCAAGAAUUGCCCAUCAGAACCAUACUCAUAGGUUUCACACAUGUGAUAAGGGUCUGUUUGGGCCGUACUCACACACUUUAAAGUUUGACAUACCGUUCUACCCAACUGGCCAACUCAAAAUCAUCAAUGUGAGGCUGAAGACUCAUACUGCUCAAAUUCCAGACCAGGAUGUGAGAGAAAGGGUUCUGGCACUUACUGUCAGCAGGAUGUAGCCGGGCUGCAGGGACAGGCUCAUCUUAGUGAUGCAGAGAAAAGGUUCUGGCAUUCACUGAUCAGGAGACAAUGUAGCCAGGGAUCCAUUCCACAAAGCAUUCAUAGCACUUUGCCAGUCAUAAGCCCAUGAACAAGUACAGAGAUGUGAUAGGUUGUGACAUUUCAAAUGCUUUGUGGAUCAGGACCCAGGAUGAUGGUAUCAGCCCAUCUCAAAAUGCAGAAAAAGGGUUCUCAAGUUCCUGAUCUGGGAACAUGUAACCAGGAUAAUAGUACCAGCCCAAAUCAUGGAUGUAGAGGAAUGGUCUGGCAUUAACUGAAGGGAUCAGGAGCACAUUUUUCUAUUUUUGUAGACUCAAAAUUGAACUGAACUGUAGCUGACACCACUUCUGACACCAUGUAGCGUUCUGUGUAUCUUGAGAUUUGAAUAAACACAGAGCUGUCAUGGGUACAGGUCGGACAUGUUGCUUUACUCAUUUAACCUGCUUUACAGUGCAAGGGAGAUAACUCUCGUAGAAGUGCAUAUCAGUACGUGAACUAGUAACUACUGCUAAAACAACUGGUGUGACAAGGUGGACAUUGCUUCUAUGGUCCAGUCAUAUUGACCAAUGGUCAGCGGUGGAGUUUGAUGCAUUGCCCAUGUUCAUUUGUGCACCAAUAUGUUUUUCUAUACAAACUUUACAAUGUGAGGACAGUUCACUGCCCUUGGCAGUUAUGUAUACUAAAAUUUUGGGAACAUCUUA
rnacentral:misc_RNA from 1 species